rnacentral:rRNA from 1 species
CUACGGGACGCUGCAGUGGGGAAUAUUGGACAAUGGGGGAAACCCUGAUCCAGCAAUGCCGCGUGUGUGAAGAAGGCCUGCGGGUUGUAAAGCACUUUCGGUUGGGAGGACUGCUUCUAGCACUAAUAUUGUUGGAAGUUGACGUUACCUUCAGAAGAAGCACCGGCUAACUCCGUGCCAGCAGCCGCGGUAAUACGGAGGGUGCAAGCAUUAAUCGGAAUUACUGGGGCGUAAAGCGCGCGUAGGCGGCUAGAUCAGUCGGGUGUGAAAGCCCCGGGCUUAACCUGGGAACUGCAUCCGAUACUGUCUAGCUUGAGUACAGGAGAGGAGAGUGGAAUUCCACAUGUAGCGGUGAAAUGCGUAGAUAUGUGGAGGAACACCAAUGGCGAAGGCAGCUCUCUGGCCUGAUACUGACGCUGAGGUGCGAAAGCGUGGGGAGCAAACAGGAUUAGAUACCCUCGUAGUC